UCAAACUUGGUCAUUUAGAGGAAGUAAAAGUCGUAACAAGGUUUCCGUAGGUGAACCUGCGGAAGGAUCAUUACCGAGUGACGUGACACUUUGUGUCGUUCACAACAACAACAACAACUUCUUCUUCGGAGCAGACAUGAUGCGGUUCCGUGUCGUGUCAGGGUUCGGGCAUCCAUCCCGGACCAGCGCCGUUCCCUCCCCACCCCGAGGAGGAGCUCAGUCCCACCCCGUUGGGACGAAAGAACGGACCCGGUGCUUUCCGCAUCGUCGACACCUGUGCUUGAAAAGGAACAACAAACAGCAGAACAACUGCAAACGGUGGAUCACUCGGCUCGCAGAUCGAUGAAGAACGCAGC
rnacentral:misc_RNA from 1 species